rnacentral:ncRNA from 1 species
UUUUCCGUGGUUCGAGACCUUCCCACGGCUAGUCAAUAUUUGACUAGAAAACAAAACUAAGGAUGU